AUUCAUCAUGUGGGUGGGUCUGGGUCAGGGUUGGUGAAUGCACAGGCCACAACACUCUUCUGGGUCAGAGCUUCAUUCAGUCACAUGCUCUGUGGUGUAACUAACACCUGCCCAGUAGUUUGAAUCCUUCUUCAGUCCCCUUUGAGGACUGGAGCUGGACAACCUCCAGACUGUCCACUGUGGGGUCCUCUGAGUCACCUGUCUGAGCCAUCUCCAAUAGUGCCUGUCAGAUUCACCUGUCAGGUCCUGCAGAGCAUCACAGUGUCUUUAGUCCCAGCAUGUCCAUCAGCCAUGAAGCAGUCAUCAGUGCUGGACAUGAAAGAGACAUGUGAGACGGGACGGCGCGGCGCCUGCCGGCCUUGAUUCUGCAUUGAGAGCAGAAGACGUCCAGCUGGUCUGAGGACACUGCUGGGAUCAUCUCAGCUGCAUCGUGUCCAGACCAGACGUCCUCCAGUCAGUCCCCAUGUGUCCUCUCAGCAGAGCUGCAGACACUCUGACUGAACCAAGAGGAACAAACUUCAGCUCCAGUCCUGACGUGGGCCUGCACUGCAGCGUCUCGAGGAUGGAGUGUUUCCCUCUGCCCUCCACCUUCACCUCAGAGGAGCCUCCAUGCUGACGGCCUCACUGUGGAGCUGCUGCUGCAAGUCUCUCCUCAUCAAAGUGACGGGACUCUGCAGUGCUGAUGAAGAGGAGGACUGAUUCCUGUUUCCUCCAUCAUGAACAGCUCAACCACACAGCAGGGUUCCGUCUGGGUCUCCUGUUCUCUCUGCCUCUCCCACAACAUGGACAAGAACUGUGAGAGCAGCAGCCGUCCAGCCAAGGACAGAACAAGCUUCAUCUGGAGGAAACAGCUGGUCUGAGCUGCUGGACAUUUUGGAACUCAGUCUGGAGGUUGUGAGUUCAAUUCCUGUCUCCCACUGUCUGCAUGUCGAAGUGUCCUUGGGGAAGACACUGAACCCUGAAUUGCCCCCACUGUUUUACGUCGCUUUGGACAAAAGUGUCUAAGUAAAAUUGUGUGAAAAAAGUCUGACUCUUGAAGGACUCAGAAGAGGAAAGCUGUCCUGACUCAUUGAUCUGGGAGGUACGACGAGCCUCUACUGCAUGUUCUUCUUUGUCCGUGAAGCCCAACCGGAAAAGCAGAAAGCCGCCACCUCUGAGCCUGGUUCUGCAAAGGUUUCUUCCUGUUAACAGGGAGUUUUUCCUUUCCACAGUCGCUGAUGCUUGCUCAUGUGGAUCUGUUGGGUUUCAGUUCUGUUUUUUGUCUCUUAAAACAAGACAAAUGGACACAAUUUUGUUCUUUUAUUCAUUGCAAUGUCAAACUGAGCGCUGGUGAACACUAAAUAUAUUCUAUUUUCUGUUGUGAAUGUUUAAG